UACGUAGGGUGCAAGCGUUGUCCGGAAUUAUUGGGCGUAAAGAGCUCGUAGGCGGUCUGUCGCGUCGGCUGUGAAAACUCGGGGCUCAACCCCGAGCCUGCAGUCGAUACGGGCAGACUAGAGUGCGGUAGGGGAGACUGAAUCCUGGUGUAGCGGUGAAAUGCGCAGAUAUCAGGAGGAACACCGGCGGCGAAGGCGGGUCUCUGGGCCGUAACUGACGCUGAGGAGCGAAAGCGUGGGGAGCGAACAGG
rnacentral:rRNA from 1 species